rnacentral:rRNA from 1 species
CAGUAGCCGCGGUAAGACAGAGGAUGCAAGCGUUAUCCGGAAUGAUUGGGCGUAAAGCGUCUGUAGGUGGCUUUUCAAGUCCGCCGUCAAAUCCCAGGGCUCAACCCUGGACAGGCGGUGGAAACUACCAAGCUAGAGUACGGUAGGGGCAGAGGGAAUUUCCGGUGGAGCGGUGAAAUGCGUUGAGAUCGAAAAGAACACCAACGGCGAAAGCACUCUGCUGGGCCGACACUGACACUGAGAGACGAAAGCUAGGGGAGCAAAUGGGAUUAGAUACCCGGGUAGUCCCUGUCUCUUAUAC